GUUUAAAUUGAACGACUCCAAAUAUUACGUCUAUUUUAGCGUUCUUAAAGUUAUUUAUUGUAAUAAUCAUAACGUUACUUAUAAGUAGGAAAUGAAACGUCAUUGCUUGUGUAUUCGCGUCUGCGCAUUUCUUCAUUGUGCUUUUCAGUGUCGUCUGAAAUAGUGUUUGUGACGGUAACCUAGCUAGCUCAGUAAUGAUUACGGUAACCCUACACGGUUCCAAAUUUAGAUCUGGCUUGUUCCCUUUUCGAUUGUAAACCAUGCUGUGCAGGAGCUUUCUGUUCAGUCGAGAAGGAAACCGUCGGUGGUGGUGGUGUGUUGUGUCUUAGUGCAUAGCUCAGGGCUAGAUAGACAAUGCGCAUAGUCCACUUAUAGAACUGGAACUUUAUAAACGUGGUGAUAACAAUCAAGAAGUAAAAGUGAGGACGGUAUUGUGAGUAGAUAAUAAUUUAGUGGAGAAUAAUAGGCCCUUUAUUAAAUCCAGCCAUUUAUGAAUGCUGGCAUUCAGUUGUAUAGGCAGCAGAUACAACAAAUAAGGCUGUAGAGUAUUUUAAAAAUAAGUGUAUUGAAUUAUAUUGCUUAUAAAAAUGGGUGAAAUUCCAGAACCAGUAAAAAAAUGUUUAGCAAUUUUGUCAGUUGCUUCAAAUGACACUGAAAAAUUUGCAGCUCUUUUUAUGGUUACCAAGCUAACAAAAGGGGACCAGCUUAAUUCCACAUGCAAAAAACUUCUUUUUGAAGCUAUUGGAUUUAAGUUUUUGAAAAGACUAUUAUUAAGUAAGGAGGUUCCAGCUGAUUGUCCACCUCUGGUAUACAAAUCAGUAGCAAUAUCCGUAUUAUCUAGCUUUUGCUCAGAUGAAGCUGUUGCUACACAUCCAGAUAUGUUAGCCAAUAUUCCAGUCUUCCUUGAGAUUGUUCAACAGGCAGAUGAAGAAGAUUUUGAAGACAAUCUUGUAGUUAUAAGUGAAGCUUAUCAAUGCCUGCAAAACAUAGCUUUAUUUCCAGCUGGUCAAAAGGCACUGUUGGACAUAGGAGCUAUUACGAAGAUGUCUGAAAUAUACUCUCAGCAAAGCUUUCAAACAGAUGAAGCAUUAAAUAUUUUAGUGACUUUAGCUGAGAGAUUUGGACCAUCAGCUUGGGAUAAAAACAAUCCAAAACCAUUUCAUGGCUUGAUUCAGAAAAUUGCACUAGACUUUGAAACUGACACUAGUGAAAGAAAAUUUGAAUUAUGUUCAAUUUUGUUGGGCCUUCUUCGUAGUUGCCCUCAAGAAAGUGUUGCUUCGACUUCAAGUGAUGAAAUAUGGCCGGGCUCAAUUCACAAGGGGUUAUCAGACAUUUUAAAAAGCAGGAUCGGUAAAUCUCAGCGAGAUCCAGCAUUAAAAUUAGCUUCUGUGGUACUGGAAAUUCUUGGGGUUGAAUGGUGCCUGACUGAUGAAGAUAAACCAAAAACUUUCUUUCUCUUGUUAAUACAGCUUUCCUCAGUUGAAGUUCGUAUGCAGUUGGAAGACAAAACUUUAAAACAAGCUAUGGUAAAUGCUGAUCUAAUAUCUGCUUGUUUUUCAAUGCUUGAAAUCUUCAUUUCAUUCAUAGCCAAUGAUACAUUAGAUUUAGAACAAAAAGAAAAACAACAAAUUUACACAGCAAUGAAAGGAGCAUUUGCAGCAGUGAUAACACUUCUAACUAAAGUAUCUAAAGAUUACCCCAAAGCUAAAGAUACGAUGGACAUUAAAGAGAAAGUGUUUAUUUGUGCAAUGGUUCGGGUUUUGUCUGCAUGGUUGGCUCAAGAAACAUCAGCCAUGAGGAAUGCUGUUUAUGCCUUAUUACCAUUCAUGCUAACUCUUGCGAAUGAAACUUUUUACGCUUACAGGACUCGAUACUUUGCAGAAAAGGCCCGGAAUGACUUAAAAUCCGAUGAGUCUGUAAUGGAAUUUGAAUCAGAUCCCUUAAGCCAAGUUGAUAUUUUAAGAAUUAUGUUACCAGCUCUUUGUCACUUAACUGUUGAAGAAAAAAGCCGUCAGAUUCUGCUUGAAGUGAAGCAAGAUGAAGUAUUGCUUGAGUGUUUGACAUUCCAUUGGUCAAUAGUCCAUUAUAAGAAACCACCUGUACCAAAAUCUGAGCGUAAAAAAGCAAGAACCGAACCAGAACCUCCAAUACCUCCAAAGUUACUUGAAGAUAUGAAAGACUCUAGAGCAGCUAUGAUAAGUACUUGUAAUAUAUUUAUGAACAUUACUGUGUUGGAACCCAAGUUGGUGGAAGAAAGUCCUCUUUUUGAGCUAUUGAUGAAAUUUACUUUCAACAAUUUGCCAGAACUGAAAGGUAUACAGGAGAACUUAGUGUUACAUGGAAACAUGGCCGUUUUGGGAUUACUUCUCCUUAAGCAACAGUCUAAGCGGGUAAAGAAAAAUGAUUUUUCCAUCUGCAGGUACAUUCAAGCUACCAUCCGUUUUCUUUGGGAUGCUUAUGUUAUUGAUGAAUGUAAUGAUCCACAUGCUUUAGUUGUUGCGAUGGACUAUAAGCAAAAUUGGAUUGAAUUGAUGGAACUGUGGUUCCUUGGAAUGCAAACAAUGAGCGCAGUACUCGCUCUGGUACCCUGGAUAUCUGAGUUUGCAAUUGAGAGUGGUUGGGCCGAGGGAAUCGUAGAUAUGUUAUUAAAAGUCAGAAUGGGGUCUUUGCCUGCUAAUACAAAAUCUGCUUACGAGGAUUUCUUAUGUAAUCUUGUUGAAGCUAACAACAGUGUCACUCAAGUUCUUAAGAAACGUGAUGCUUUGACAGUUUGUCGCAACCAUAGGUUGAUGGAAUUAGGAAAGAAACUGUUUGGAGAUUAGAACUUAAACUCUAGUCAGUAUUAUUGUAAUAAUUAUAUUAUUUUUUUACCUUUUAACUAAGUGUUGGACAUUUUUUAUAAUCAAUUUGAAAAACUACAUUGUGUUGAUCCCAAAAACAUUAGAGCUUAGGUUUAUUAACUUAUCACACACUCAGUAUUGUUAUUAGUCUGUAGCAUGUGUCUAAUGAUUUGACUUUGUUUAAAUGAAGUACCUAACUUAAACAUGAUCAUAACAUCAGUUUUCAUCGAAGAAAAUCAACGAUUAGCAUGAUAUAAGAAUCAUACACGAAUCUUCACUGAUAUUGUGCCAUAAGAAAUGUAUGAACAAACAAUUUCAGAAUUCUGUUCUUCUACAUCAGCUACCUUUCCUCCCGGUGGGAGCAGCCAUGCAAUCGUUGCAUCUCCUCGACCUACCAGCUAAACUCAAUUUUGGUUGAGAAGUUCAAUCUAUCCCCGGGUGAUGCAAACCGAUCAACAGCAAAGUUCCUCCAAAGUUUUGUC